CCUCCUGGAGUUCCCGCAGCGUCACCUGGGCCUCUGCCACCGCCUCCGGAAUGGCCUCCGGAACUGCCUCUGGAACUGCCGCUUCAGCCUGGGAACCUCCCAGAGGGCCUAGCACUCCAUGGCGCACACUAUCCCUGAAGGCCUCCACUUUUCUCUCGAUUCGUCCCUCACUGACCCUCUCCUCUAGAGACUCCUAAAGACUCACCGUUUCCUCUGGUGGGGGCACCGUGGGUUCCAGGCUGGGCUCUUGCAAUGGCUCAGGCAACGCCUCGGCCUCCAGUUCCAUGGGCGUGGAGCCCGGGAUCUCAUCAUCCCUGGGGAGAGGAAGAGGGCGAGGGGAGGAAGAGCCGAUCCUCUGCAUUUACAGCCAGGACUCCCUAGCCUGUGCCCUGGGGCAGCCAGACCUGAAGGCUCCAGGCUUGAGGAGGGGGAGGGGCAGAGUGAAGGGAAUAAAUGGCCAGGCUGGUGAGACAGGUCCUCCUCUUGUUAGGAAAAGGCCUGCCCCUGGCAUGGCCUCAGGCCCCUGGAAGCUGGCCUCUCUGCACCUUCCUUGGGAACCUGGGGUCAGGAAACCCAUGUUCUAGGAUCUGCCCAUCUCCGUCUCCAUGUGCGCUUUACAGGCCCCUCUCCUAAGGGCCUCAGGAAGUGAGGGAGACACUCCCAGCUCUGGCUACCUCCAAAGGGGUGGUCUUCAGACUGGGUGUUGGACCCCAAGCCUGACUCUAGACAGCAGCCACCCCUCCCACCCCCAGACCCAGGUGCUGGGAGGAAGACAGACCCUCCCAAGGAAUAUGAAAUUGCAGUAAAAGUGACGUCCCCUCCAAGCCAGCAGUCCCUCUUGUAGAAAUAUGUCUCAAGGACCCAAUGAUGCUCGACAAGCGCCAAGACCAACCUGCGGCUGUUCAUCCAGCCUGGGUCAUGACAGAGGCGGGUUAGCUGAGUCCUGACCCGCCCAGUAAGGAGAACACUCCCCAGCGGGUCAGGAUUGUGUUACAGUUUGUUCAAGAAAUGGCACUUGCGGUACAUUGUCCAAUAACAAAACAGAUCAGAAUCCAGCAUGUUCUCGCAGCUGUUAAGUACGUGUGCUGUGAGCCAGGGACACACAAGGCCGCUGCUGGCGGCCUUCCUUUUUCUCAUCCCUAUUUUCUAAUAUACUUGUGAUAAGCAAUGUAUUAUUUUCAGAAUCAGUGUUUAAAGAAGGCUUUGCGGUUAUGUAA